rnacentral:rRNA from 1 species
UACGGGGGGGGCAAGCGUUGUUCGGAAUUACUGGGCGUAAAGGGCUCGUAGGUGGCCAACUAAGUCAUACGUGAAAUCCCUCGGCUUAACCGGGGAACUGCGUCUGAUACUGGAUGGCUUGAGGUUGGGAGAGGGAUGCGGAAUUCCAGGUGUAGCGGUGAAAUGCGUAGAUAUCUGGAGGAACACCGGUGGCGAAGGCGGCAUCCUGGACCAAUUCUGACGCUGAGACGCGAAAGCGUGGGGAGCAAACAGG